UAUGGCCACAUCACAUUGAAACACUGGUUCCUGUACAAUCCCUGAAGUUAAGCAACAUUGAGCCUGGUCAAUAGCUAGAUGGGUAACCACUUAGGAAUACCAAGUGCUGUAA